GGAGUUAGCCGGUGCUUCUUCUGUGAGUGAUGUCCUUCCUGCCGGUUAUUGACCCGCAGGCCUUCUUCCUCACUGAAAGUGCUUUACAACCCGAAGGCCUUCUUCACACACGCGGCAUGGCUGGAUCAGGGUUGCCCCCAUUGUCCAAUAUUCCCCACUGCUGCCUCCCGUAGGAGUCUGGGCCGUGUCUCAGUCCCAGUGUGGCUGAUCAUCCUCUCAGACCAGCUACGGAUCGUCGCCUUGGUGAGCCGUUACCUCACCAACCAGCUAAUCCGACAUAGGCUCAUCCGAUAGCGCGAGGCCCGAAGGUCCCCCGCUUUCCCCCGUAGGGCCGUAUGCGGUAUUAGCCUGGGUUUCCCCAGGUUAUCCCCCACUACCGGGCAGAUUCCUAUGCAUUACUCACCCGUCCGCCGCUCGCCACCAGGAGCAAGCUCCCCGUGCUGCCGCUCGACUUGCAUGUGUUAGGCCUGCCGCCAGCGUUCAAUCUGAGCCAGGAUCAAACUCUGA
rnacentral:rRNA from 1 species